CAUUAGAUGGCUGAAGCCCCCCCAAGUGUUGGUCUCUUAAACCAAAUUAUAGUUAAUUAACUUCUAAUG
rnacentral:tRNA from 1 species